ensembl:lncRNA
ACACACCUGCUCAGAGUGACGUAUAAGGCUGCAGACCUUGCUUUAAUCCCGAUCCAGUGCUUUCAGGAUUACAGCUGCUCUCUCCUCUCACUAUCUACAGUCACCUGCUGCCUCUCCAAGGCAGCAGAGUGCACUUAUCUGUGGUGCCCCAUGCAGUGCUCUGGGCUUCUGGUCCUGUGGUCAGCAUGGACAGUGUCCAUAUGGUGGCAUGCAGAUCACCAUGGGCCCUGCUGGGAUAAGAAUGGCAGCGGUUAGGUGUGUGAUGAGGAAGGUGACAGGAUCCUGUGUGAACUAACUGAUAGAGGAAGCUAUUCCUGCCCAUUCCCACGGACCAGCCCAAAAACAUAUGAUGGAGUGUCAGGAACAUUAGCAACACUGCUGACAAUGCAGAAAGUGACAAGUGUGUUCGCUGUCACCUCUCUAUAGUGGCAAAGCAAAGCCCUCAUGUGUGUGUCUACAUGCACUUGCUCUGACAGACAUACACACAUGCACUGCGAGCAGCACUGAAGCUGUGGUCGCCAGUGGCUGUUCUACAUCUCAAACUAAUUUAAUUGAUGUGCUGAUGGCCUUUUCUGCACACUUUGAUCAUAAAACCUGGAAGGAAACAGAACAAAGCACUGACAGGAAGACAGUCACCAUGUGUCUGCACUUUGCACUAAAAGAAACAAGGAGUGACAUGCUUUGUCUGGCGUUGAACUCGUGCUAUGGACAAUGGAUGGCCUGGCAGUGCGGGAAUGAGCUAGUUGAUGUUUCAGUCUUUGUCCUGCCUUUUUGCUUUCCACUCUCUAUGUCAUCCAUGAAAAGGAUCUUCUCAUUCAGCCAGUCUGCGGACAGAUCCACAGCCUGCAGACAAAAUAUUGUCACCCAUCACAAUGGACUGCAGCAGCCAUGCCUCUGCGGCAGAGCGGCAGAUUUGGUCCUCUUUGGCUCAGUUCAAACGCCCAGCUCUGCUAACAGCUCCUCCUUUUGUCCACUGCAAACCACACUGGCACGCAGGCCAAAGCGCAAACAAGAGGACAAAAAGAGAAAGGAAGACAGAUAUAAAAGCCCUCCCCCCGGCUUCCUCUAAUCCAGUUAGAAGGCUGUAAAUUUGAUUGGAGUCCUGAGAGUGUGCCUUCAGCUGUCCGUCAUUAGCGAGUGCUGAGAGGGAGCUCAUACCUCAUAGCAGAGGUAAAGACUGAGAUCAGAGUACAAGGAGACACACAUGUGAAAAUGGAACCGCAAAGGACAUGUUUGGAUGCUACACUGUGAGAAAAAAUCUGCAGAAAAAAAGAGAAAAGGUACUGGAAAUUAUGUGCCAGGACACUAUACGUUAAGUUUACAGACAUGUUCUUGAACUCUAAAACACAAUGCAGUGCACAAAUUAAAAUACAGGUAAAACACCUGUGAAAAAUCAGUAUGGAUAAUUCAUUCAUAUUAACACAGUACACUGUGCCCUAUUUUUUGGUGGCAAAAAAUAUGAUGAAACCAUUCAAGUAUCAUGAUUAUUUACAGUCACUUAAAACAAUAUAAAACCUACCUAUCCUAUGCUGGUCUGCUGGUCUUAGCUGGUGUAAAACCAGCCAACAGACCAGUAUGUUCUUACAGCAAGAUGUUCUCACAGCAGGGUGGAUGAGGUGCACAUUCAAAGUCACUGUAAAAUAGUUGAAAAACACACUUGUGACUGAACAUCAAUUA